rnacentral:rRNA from 1 species
UACGUAGGGACCAAGCGUUGUCCGGAUUUAUUGGGCGUAAAGAGCUCGUAGGUGGUUUUGUAAGUCGGGAGUUAAAAACAUCAGGCUUAACCUGGUGUCGCUUUUGAUACUGCAAUGACUUGAGUUUGGUAGGGGAAGACAGAAUUCCACGUGUAGCGGUGAAAUGCGCAGAUAUGUGGAGGAAUACCGAUGGCGAAGGCGGGUCUCUGGGCCGAUACUGACGCUGAGGAGCGAAAGCGUGGGGAGCGAACAGG